GUGCCAGCAGCCGCGGUAAUACGUAGGGGGCAAGCGUUGUCCGGAAUGAUUGGGCGUAAAGGGCGCGUAGGCGGCCCUUUAAGUCCGAUGUGAAAGUCCUGCUUUUAAGGUGGGAAUUGCAUUGGAAACUGGAAGGCUUGAGUGCAGGAGAGGUAAGUGGAAUUCCCGGUGUAGCGGUGAAAUGCGUAGAGAUCGGGAGGAACACCAGUGGCGAAGGCGACUUACUGGACUGUAACUGACGCUGAGGCGCGAAAGUGUGGGGAGCAAACAGGAUUAGAUACCCUGGUAGUCCACACGGUAAACGAUGAGUGCUAGGUGUAGGAGGUAUCGACCCCUUCUGUGCCGGAGUCAACACAAUAAGCACUCCGCCUGGGGAGUACGGCCGCAAGGUUGAAACUCAAAGGAAUUGACGGGGGCCCGCACAAGCAGCGGAGCAUGUUGUUUAAUUUGAAGCAACGCGAAGAACCUUACCAGGUCUUGACAUCCAGUAAAACUUGUAGAGAUAUAAGGUGGGCUUGCCCAUACUGAGACAGGUGGUGCAUGGUUGUCGUCAGCUCGUGUCGUGAGAUGUUGGGUUAAGUCCCGCAACGAGCGCAACCCUUGUGAUUAGUUACUAACGCGUAAUGGCGAGGACUCUAAUAAGACUGCCGGGGACAACUCGGAGGAAGGUGGGGACGACGUCAAAUCAUCAUGCCCCUUAUGACCUGGGCUACAAACGUGCUACAAUGGCCACCACAGAGAGCAGCGAACUCGUAAGGGUAAGCGAAUCUCAUAAAAGUGGUCCCAGUUCGGAUUGUGGGCUGCAACCCGCCCACAUGAAGUCGGAGUUGCUAGUAAUCGCGAAUCAGCAUGUCGCGGUGAAUACGUUCCCGGGCCUUGUUCACACCGCCCGUCACACCAUGGGAGUUGAUAGCGCCCGAAGUCGGUGAGGCAACCGUAAGGAGUCAGCCGCCUAAGGCGAGAUCAAUGACUGGGGUGAAGUCGUAACAAGGUAACCGU
rnacentral:rRNA from 1 species